rnacentral:rRNA from 1 species
UAGUGCCCGAUAGCGUAUAGUACCGUGAGGGAAAGGUGAAAAGAACCCCGGGAGGGGAGUGAAAUAGAACCUGAAACCCUGCACUUACAAGCUGUGGAAGCCCAUUUCUUGUGUGACCGCGUACUUUUUGUAGAACGGGCCAACGAGUUACGUUAAGUAGCAAGGUUAAGCACUUAAGGUGCGGAGCCGUAGCGAAAGCGAGU